ACAUGCUCUGGCCGCCCGCGUAUUUAUCUUAGAUCGCUUUUAAUCGUAGCCGUCCAUUCUCACCCCCCCCCCCACAAUCCUAUAAAUAGACUGGGUAGGAAUUCAAUUAUUCCAGCCCAGUUUGUUUUGGUUUGGUUGUUUGUUCAUUGGUUUUCUGCCUUCUCUCUGUGUGAAAAUAAAAAUACAAGGGCAAGAGUUGUUUCUGAUCAAUUUGCAAUUAGUGAUUGUUUGUUUGUGGAUGUAUGAUCAGGUCUGGGUAAUGAUUGAAGGAGAAUGAUUAUAAGUACCUUGUUCUCAUCCUUUCUUUCCUUCCUUGUGUGUUUUGUUCUCAUCCUUUGAUUGAUUGAUAUAUUAAGAAAUUCGAAGCUGGUGAGGUCCAUUCUUAGAUGCAAUUUUGUUGUGAGAUAUCCCCUGUGUUUAUGUUUAUGUUUAUGUUUGCCCUUGAUGAUUGGAUAUAGGGGUUAUUCCGUAUUCUGAAGGUGUACCUACACUAUCUGAGCUCGCAAGUUCCUUCUCUUGAAUCAGAAUACUGGUGGUAGAACUGGAAAUUUCGCUCCCGAUGCCACACUUGGAUUCUAUAUCUAAGCAGGAAAGGGUGGAUAUGUUGACUUCCAUUCUUUAAGCUAAAUUUGAUGCUAAUGUAGUUUUAAUCCCUCUUAUUUCGUUCGGUCAUCUCAUUUCUGUGUGGUGUUAGUCGGAUAUGUACCCAUAGACACUUAUGGUUAUGGACACCUGCUCAAAGUCAAUCCUGGAUCCGACUGAUGAGGUCUCUUCUGGUUAUGGACAUCUCUUAACUACUCCAAGUCAAUCCUGGAUCUUUGAUAACGCCAUGAAGUGCUCCUUUACUUUUGGGUUGAUAGCUACUUAUUUUCUCUCUGCUUCCGUUUUCUUUUGAUUGUCACACCAGCCUGAUUUGUUUGUUGGAUGAAUGCGUAGAUCACACGGUGACAGAUAGAGGAUUGGAUUUGGAAAAUUUGUAUUCGUUCGUGUGCACGUCCUUUUCGUGCUUGCGCUGCAAUCUGGAUAUUGUCGGGCUUCAACAAAAAGGGGGUUUUGAAUCUUGUCUGGCAUUUUUCCUAGUGAUUUCUUAGGUGGUAUGGGUUUCAUCAGCUUUGUUGUUCCCUUCUUUCUGUACUUGCAGCAGCCAUUGGAUCUUGCAGAGCGAUGCAUUAUGCUUUUCAUGUAACGGCCUUGUUUCUCCAUUUGUGUCGAGGUUUCUUUAGUUCAGGCUUUUAUGAAUACAGAAAUUUUCAUUUCUCAACCCAUAUAGUUUCUUUCACUUGUAUUAGUUCUAUUCUGCUGCCGUUUUUAGUUUUUUAGUACAGAUGCUUAUGUUCUUUGACCAUCCAACUGAUGACGCCCUGGUGAUUGAUGGUUAUGGACACCUGAUUAAGUACUUGAAGUCAGUUCUGGAUAUUUCGUUAGCCCCAUAAAGUGCGCCUCUUUUUGGUUUUCUUGCUGCUUAUUUUCUCUGCUGCCGUUUCUUCUGUUUAUCACACGAGCUUGAUUUUUUUUGUUAGAUGGAUGUGUCGUAACAGUUCAGAGGAUUAGAUUUGGAAUGAAAAUUUCAAAGGUUGGUGCCCAGUAUAUGUUUGUGUGCACCCGGUUUCUUGCCAUUUUGGUGCUUGCACUACAAUCUGGAUAUUGUCGGGCUUCGACAAAAAGGGGGUUUCGAAUCUUGUGUCUGGCAUUUUCCCUAGUGAUUUCUUAGGUAGUAGGGAUUACAUCAGCUUUUGUACUUAACUGUUCCCUUCUUUCUAUGCUUGCAGCAGCCAUUGGGUCUUACAGAACCAUGAAUGCUUUACAUGGAAUGGCCUUGUUUGUCCAUUUGUGUCGAGGUUCCUUCAGCUCAGGCUUUUAUGAGUGCAUAAAUUAUCAUUUCUCAACCAAAAUAGUUUUUUUCACUAGUGUUUGUUUAUUCUGGUGCCAUUUUUAGUUUUUUAGUACAGAUGCUUAUGUUCUUUCACCAUACAACUGAUGAGGCCCUAGUGGUUGAUGGUUACGGACACCUGAUUUAGUACUUGAAUCGUAAAGUGCUCCUCUCUUUUGGUGUUCUCGCUGCUUAUUUUCUCUGCUGCCGUUUCUUUUGUUUAUCACGCAAGCUUGAUUUUGUUUGUUGGAUGGAUGUGUGGUAACAGUUAAGAGGAUUAGAUUUCGAAAUUUCAAAGGUUGGUGUCCAGUAUGCGUUUGUGUGCACCCUGUUUCUUGCCAUUUUGGUGCUUGCACUACAAUCUGGAUAUUGUCUUUUGCUGCGACAAAAAGGGGGUUUCGAACCUUGUCUGGAAUUUUUCCUAGUGAUUUCUUAGGUAGUAGGGGUUGUAUCAGCUUUUGUACUUUUAACUGUUCCCUUCUUUCUAUGCUUGCAGCAGCCAUUGGGUCUUACAGAACCAUGAAUGCUUUUCAUGGAACGGCCUUGUUUGUCCAUUUGUGUCGAGUUUCCUUCAGCUUAGGCUUUUGUGAGUGCAUAAUUAUCAUUUCUCAACCAAAAUAGUUUUUUUCACUAGUGUUUGUUUAUUCUGGUGCCAUUUUUAGUUUUUUAGUACAGAUGCUUAUGUUCUUUGACCAUCCAACUGAUAAGGCCCUGGUGGUUGAUGGUUAUGGGGACCUGAUUUAGUACUUGAAUCGUAAAGUGCUCCUCUUUUUUGGUGUUCUCGCUGCUUAUUUUCUCUGUUGCCGUUUGUUCUGUUUAUCACGCAAGCUUGAUUUUGUUUGAUGGAUGGAUGUGUGGUAACAGUUAAGAGGAUUAGAUUUUGAAAUUUCAAAGGUUGGUGUCCAGUAUGUGUUUGUGUGCACCCUGUUUGUUGCCAUUUUGGUGCUUGCACUACAAUCUGGAUAUUGUCUUUGCUGCCACAAAAAGGGGGUUUCGAAUCUUGUCUCUGCUUCCACCUUAGUUUUUAGUCCAGAUGCUUGUGGUCUUUGACCAUCCAACUGAUGGCCCGGGCGGUUGAUGGUUAUGGACACUUGAUUAAGUUCUAAAGUCAGUUCUGGAUAUUCUUAGCCCCGUAAAGUGCUCCUUUGUUCUGGUUUUCUCGCUACUGAUUUUCUCUGUUUCCGUUCUCUUCUGUGAAUCACGCAGCUUGAUUUUGUUUCUUGGAUGUGUUGAUUUGGUAUUAAUGAUUAAGAUUGAGAUGUUGAUUUGAUAUUGAUGAUUAAGAUUGAUAGCUUAAUUUUAGGAAUAUAUUGUAUUGAUGUAAAUGAUUAGGAAUUGAUUGUGUAAUAUUGUCUUUUCUUAUUUAGUCUUAGAACUCAUUGGGUACUUAUACUUCUUAUGGAUUGUAUAUUCAUUCAGAAAUACAAGAAGCCCUUUCUUCUUGCUAAAAAUCUUCAUGGUAUCAGAGCCAUUGCUGCCUUUUUGAGGUGACUUUUCUCCUUCGCAGCACUAGGGUUCCGUGUUUUAUCAAAGAGGUCGAGUUUUUCUCUCUUUGUGGCUGUCCGCACAAAAAACUCCUCCCGUUCAGUUCGUUUCUGGAUUAUUUUUCUCUGUUGGGGUCGCUGGAACAUUCUGAGCCUAUCCCUAUCAGUUUUGAUUUUUUCCGAUCACCGGAAUUAGGAUUCCCGCGUGGCAGCCAACUUCCCGGCGAUUUUUUUAGGAUUUUGUUUUUUCAGUUCUCGGGUCGUAGGCCUAUUCUAACCCUUCCCAUUUAGAUAAUAUGGGUGACACUACUUCUGGAGAGACUUUGUCUCAGGAUGAAGUUCCAAUAUCUUCGCCGUCUUCUGAACAAACUUGACUCUUCUAGUAUUGCUAGCCCCAAUUAUGUGCAGUCAGGUAUUGCUUUUAAUGCUCAGCUUAAUUGUUGGAUUAUUGAUUCUGGUGCGAAUAGACACAUGACAGGCUCUUCUAAAGGCCUUCAAAAUUACUCUCCUAGUCCCAAAGGGGAUUAUGUCAGAAUAGUCAAUGGCUCCCUAACCCUUGUCUCUGGAACAAGUUCAAUCUUUUGUACUCUUGAUAUUACCUUAUCAUCCAUUCUUUAUGUGCUUGAUUUUCCUAUUAACCUAUUAUCUGUUAGCGCUAUCACCAAAGAACUAAACUGUAGUGUCAGAUUCUUUCGUGAUUAUUGUGUUUUUGAAGACCUCUUCAUACAGGGAAGAAGAUUGGCAGUGAUAGAUUGCAUGAUGGCUUAUAUUUGAUCGGUGGAACUCGAGACUCUGGUCAGGCCUUUUUUUGUAGGAAAUAAGGAUGUCAACCGAGAAAUAAUACAGUGGCAUAGACGGUUGGGACACCUAUCUUUUUUUGCUUUAAAAAAGUUAUACCCUGGUUUAUUUUCUAGAACUGAGUUUGAAUCUUUGUCUUGUGAUGCAUGUGAAUAGGCCAAGCACACUAAAAACUCUUAUCCUCUGAGUGACAAUAAAAGCACAAUUCCCUUUUCAACUAUUCAUUCUGAUGUCUGGGGUCCUGCUCAAACACUUUCUUUGUCUGGUAGUCUAUGGUUUGUUAUUUUUAUCGAUUGUUGCACUAGAAUGACAUGGGUAUAUCUGUUAAAAGCCAAAAGUGAAGUUUUCUCCUGUUUUAAGUCAUUUCAUAAGAUGAUUUGUACUCAGUUUGAGGCUAAGAUAAAGAUAUUUCGAACUGACAAUGGCACAUAAUACAUGGAUAAAACUUUUGGAGCUUACUUGGAGUCUUUUGUGAUAAUCCAUCAAACUAGUUGUCCUUAUACUAGUGCACAAAAUGGGGUUGCUGAAAGAAAAAAUAGGCAUUUGUUAGAAGUAGCAAGAUCCCUUUUGUUUACCAUGAAUCUGCCGAAGCCUUAUUGGGGGGAUGCCAUUCUAGUAGCUGCCUACCUCAUCAAUAGAAUGCCACUUAAAACUCUUAAUUUCCGGAGUCCUUUAGAAGCUUUAAAGGGUAAAAAUGACUAUACUGUUCCUCCAAAGAUAUUUGGGUGUGUUUGCUUUGUUCACGCUAGGAACUCUAGGAAACUUGAACCUAGAGCUUUUAAAUGUGUCUUUAUUGGGUAUUCUCCAACACAGAAAGGGUACAAAUGUUAUCACCCUCCUCUAGGAGAUUCUUUGUCAGUAUGGAUGUUACUUUUCGGGAAUCUGAGCCCUAUUUCAGUAUUACACCAUCACCUCUUCAGGGGGAGAAUUAUAAGGGGGAGAAUUAUAAGGAAGAAGAGAUGGUUUUUCCUAGUUCUAUUGUUGAAACUACUGCCACAAGGGAAAGUGAAAUUGAAGAAAGAAUUCAGGGGGAGACUAUUGAAACUACUGCCAUAAGAGAAAGUGAAACUUAAGAAAGAAUUCAGGGGGAGACUGUUGGGCGUUUGGAUAGGCCUGAUUUGAUAACUUAUUCAAGGAGAAAUAGAGCAGAAGAAGCCAUCAUGCAACUUGCCGAAGCCGAACCUUCUUCUUCUGGUGAGUUAUCUAUACUUCGUAAUGAGUUAGAUUUGCCUAUUGCUCACAGGAAAGGAGUCAGAUCUUGCACUAAACACCCUUUAUCUAACUUUGUUUUCUAUAAUUCUUUAUCGCCCUCCUAUAGAGCCUUUGCCUUGUCUAUUUCUUCUGUGUCUAUUCCCCAGAAUUGGAGGGAAGCUUUUGCAGAUUUUAAGUGGAAGCAAGCUAUGAUGGAAGAAAUGAAGGCCUUACCAAAGGAUGAGACUUGAGAACUUGUCGCAUCACCCCCAAACAAGAAGUUGGUUGGUUGCAAAUGGGUCUUCACUGUAAAACAUAAAGCUGAUGGUUCCAUUGAAAGGUUCAAAGCAAGAUUAGUGGCUAAAGGAUUCACUCAGACUUAUGGAGUGGAUUAUCAAGUGACAUUUGCUCUUGUUGCAAAAAUGAAUACUAUUAGAAUUCUUCUAUCUUGUGCAGCUAAUCUUGACUGGGACUUGCAACAGUUUGAUGUGAAGAAUGCAUUUCUUCAUGGAGAUUAGACGAAGAGGUGAACAUAGAGAUUCCUCCUGGUUUUGGUACUGAACAAAGUCAAGGAAAGGUAUGCAGACUGAAGAAAGCCUUGUACGGAUUGAAGCAAUCUCCCUAGAGCUUGGUUUGAUAGAUUCUAUAAAGCAAUGAUCUCCUUUGGUUACCAACAAAGCAAUGCGGAUCACACCCUCUUUAUAAGACAUUUAAAGGGUAAACUCACUCUUCUCAUAGUUUAUGUUGAUGACAUAGUAAUGACAGGAGAUGACAAAGAGGAGAUGACCCGAUUGAAGAAGUCGUUGGCACAGGAAUUUGAUAUCAAGGAUCUAGGAAAAUUGCAGUACUUCUUGGGAAUUGAAGUUGCUAGAUCAAAAAAAGGAAUCUUUAUUUCUCAAAGAAAGUAUAUUCUGGAUCUCUUGAAAGAAACAAGUAUGAUAGGUUGCAAACCAGCAGAAUCACCCAUAGAAAGCAAUCACAAACUACAAAGCGGAGUUGGGAAGUCAGUUGAUAAAGAGAGAUAUCAGAGGCUGGUUGGAAGACUCAUUUAUCUCUCUCACACUAAACCAGACAUAGCCUAUUUAGUCAGCCUAGUGAGUCAAUUUAUGCAUGAUCAUUUAGAUCCUCAUAUGCAAGCUGUCUUUCACAUUUUGCGGUAUCUGAAGUCUGCUCCAGGAAAAGGUGUACUUUACUCCAGACAUGGUCACCUUCAAAUAGAAGCCUUUACUGAUGCAGAUUGGGCUGGAUCUUUAGAUGACAGAAGGUCUACAUCCGGUUACUGUACACUCGUAGGAGGAAACUUGGUCACUUGGAGAAGCAAGAAACAAAGUGUAGUUGCUAGAUCAAGUGCAGAGGCAGAAUAUAGAGCUAUGGCCCAGGGUGUUUGCGAACUUUUGUGGUUACAAAAGUUACUAGAAGAAUUGAGAUUGUCUUAAAAAAGGAAAUUUUCCUUGUAUUGUGACAACAAGGCUGCAAUCAGUAUAGCUCGAAAUCCAGUCCAGCAUGACCGAAUAAAGCACGUUGAAAUUGAUCGACACUUCAUCAAAGAAAAAGUCACAGGUGGUGUCUUGAGUUUAUUCCACGUGUCAUCAGAAAAACAACUAGCUGAUGUGUUUACUAAAGGCCUCAACAAACGGACUGUUCAUACACUGGUUUGCAAGUUGGGCAUGUGCGACAUCUUUGCACCAACUUGAGGGGGAGUGUUGAUUUGGUAUUAAAAUGAUUAAGAUUGAGAUGUUGAUUUGAUAUUGAUGAUUAAGAUUGAUAGCUUAAUUUUAGGAAUAUAUUGUAUUGAUGUAAAUGAUUAGGAAUUGAUUGUGUAAUAUUGUCUUUCCUUAUUUAGUCUUAGAACUCAUGUAUAAGUACCCAUUCUUAUGGAUUGUAUAUUCAUUUAGAAAUACAAGAAGCCCUUUCUUCUUGCUAAAAAUCUUCAGGAUGGAUGUCUGGUAACAGUUAAGAAAAUUAGAUUUGGAAAUUUCAGAGGCUGGUGUCCAGUAUGCGUUGCUGUGCACCCGGUUUCUUGCCAUUUUGGUGCUUGCACUACAAUCUGGAUAUUGUCUUGCUGCGACAGAAAGGGGGUUUCGAAUCUCGUCUCUGGCAUUUUUCCUAGUGAUUUCUUAGGUAGUAGGGGUUACAUCAGCUUUGCACUUAACCGUUCCCUUCUUUCUGUGCUAGCAGCAGCCAUUACAGAACCAUGAAUUAUGCUUUUCAUGGAAUGGCCUUGUUUGUCCAUUUGUGUUGAGGUUUCUUUAGUUUAGGCUUGUAUGAGUACAGAAAUUUUCAUUUCUCAACUAAAAUAGUUUUCUCUCUCUAGCGUUUGUUGUGUUCUGCUGCCAUUUUUUUAGUGUUUAGUCCUGAUGCUUAUGUUCUUCGACGAUCCAACUGAUGAGGCCUUGGUGAUUGAUUAUGGACCUGUUCUCGCUGCUUAUUUUCUCUGCUACUGUAUUCUUCCUUCUGUUUAUCAGGCUAGCUUGAUUUUGUUUGUUGGAUGGAUGUGCCGGUAACAGUUGAUUAGAUUUGGAAAUUUCAGUAUGCAUUCCUCUACACCCCCAUCUUGGUGCUUGUACUCCAAUCUGGAUAUUGUCAGGCUUCGACAAAAAAGGGGGUUUUCAACCUGGCUCUUGCAUAUGUAGUGAUAUCUGAGGUGGUAUGGGUUUUGUCAGCUUUGCACUUAACUGUUCCCUUCUUUCUGUGCUUGCAGCCAUGAGCAGUGACUUCUUUUGUGGAGCGAUCGUGUUUGUCUAUUUGAGCUUAAGGUUCUGUAGUUCAGUCUUUUAUGAGUAUCGAGAUUGUCAUUCAGUUCUCUUUCCUAAUGGUCCCUGUUCUCUUUGUUGAAAGUUGAAACUGCUGUUGUAUUGAAGUUUCUCAAAGAUAAUAUUUUUCACCAGUGUGUAAUUUCUGCUGUGAUGAAGUUUUAACUCCAGAUGCUUAUGUUCUUCGAUGAUCCAACCGCUGAGGUGUCUCCUAUGGUUAUGGGCACCCAAUAAGUACGGUCAAUUUUGGAUCCUUUGAUAGCGCCGUAAAGUGUCUCUCUACCUUUGGUCUUCUUGCUACUUAUUUUCUCUGUUUUCUGUUGGUUAUCACGCCACUUGUCUGCUCUUUUUUGUUGGAUGGAUGUUUAGAUCAUAUGGUGACAGUAACAGAGGUUAAGAUUUGGAAAUUUUGAAGGUUGGUAUCCAGUAUGCGUUCCUCUACACCCUCUUGGUCUUUUUGGUGGUUGCACUGCAAUCUGGAUUUUUCCGGGCUUCGACAAAAGGGGGGUUUUCAAUCUUUUCUGGCAUUUUCUUGUGAUUUCCUAGGUUAUUGUAUGGGCUUCGCCAGCUUUGCACACCCUUUUUACCCUUUUUUUUUGGGUUGUUUUAUUUUGUUGCAUCAUCUUGUGUUUUCAAGCUUGAAUUAUGUUUUUACCACUUGAAAAAGACACCCUAUAACUGUUCCCUUCUUUCGGUGCUUGCAGUUGGUGGGUUUUAUGAGCAGUGAAUCCUUCUUUUCAUGGAGUGGCCUUGUUUGUCAAUUUUGGUUGAGGUUUCUUUAAUUAAUGCUUUUAAUGAUUAUCUAGAUUUUUAGUUCAGUUUCCUUCCCUAAUAAGAGUGGUUCCCAUCUCUCUCUGUCAACUCCUCAUUUAAAAUUACUUUUUCACUAGCGUGUUGUAUUCUGCUGCCAUCUUUAUUGUUUUAAGUCCAGAUGCUUAUGUUCUAUGGUGAUCCAACUGAUGAGAUGCCUGAUGGCUAUGGACACAUGAUAAGCACUCUUUAACUCAAUUAAUUUUGGAUCUUCUGAUAGCCCUGUAAAGUAAAACCCUAAAUUGGUGUUCUCGCUUCUUAUCUUCUCCGCUUCCGCUUUCUUUUGUUUGACACACCAUUUGAUUUUAUUCGGUUGGAUAGAUGUUUGUAGACCACAGUGUGAUAGUGAUAGAUGGUUUGAUAUUUCGAAGUCUGUGCAUCAAGGAAAGGGAUUUUCCCAAUCUUGUCUAUGGUAUCUCUAGUGAUUUCUUAGGCGUUAUGGGUUUCCUCGACUUUGCACUUAACUAUUCCCUUCUUUCCUUUGCUUGCAGCUUUUGUGGAGCGAUCAUGUUUGUCUAUUUUAAGCAGAGGUUUCUUUAGUUCAUUCUUUUACGAGUAUCGAGAUUUUCAUUCAGUUCUCUUCCGUAAUGGUCCCUUUUCACUUUGUUGAAACUACUGUUGUAGUGAAGUUACUCAGCUAGGAUAAUAUUCUCGCCAGUGUGUUAUAUUCUGCUGCGAUGAAGUUUUUACUCCAGAUGCUUAUGUUCUUCGAUGAUUCAAUCGGUGACAGUAACAAAGCACUUAACUUGUCCCUUCUUUCCGUGCUUGCAGCCAUUGGGUUUACAGAGCAGUGAAUUACCCUUUUUUGGAGCGGCCUUGUUUGUACAUUAUGUUGAGGUUUCUUUAGUUCAGUCUUUUUUGAGCAUUGAGAUUCUCAAUUCAGUUUUCUUGGCUAAAUGCUCCUUUUUCUCUUUGUCAAAACUACUGUUGUGUGGAGGUUUAACUGAGAUAAUAUUUUUCACCUGUAGUGUUGUAUUCUGCUUCCAUGAGGUUCUUAGUCCAGAUGGUUAUGUUCUUCGAUGAUCCAACUGAUGAGGUCUCUUAUAGUUAUGGACAGCUGAUAAGCACUCGGUCAUUUUCUGAUAGCACUGUAAAGUGCUCCUCCACUUUUGGUCUUCUAGCCCACUUUUCUUCUCUGCUUCCAGUUUCUUUUGGUUAUCACGCGACUUGUUUUAUUUUUGUUGUAUGGAUGUGUAGACCAUAUGGUGACAGUUACAGAGGUUAUGAUUUGGAAAUUUCAGAGGUACCUCCAUUAUGCUUUCCUCUGCACCCUCUUGGUAUUUUUGGUGCUUGCUCUGCAAUCCGGAUAUUGUUAAGUUUCGACAGAAAGGCGGUUAUUCAAUUUUGUCUAUGGCAUCUUUAGUGAUUUCUAGGUGGUUUGGGUUUGGUCAGCUUUGCACUUGACUGUUUCCUUCUUUCUGUGCUUGCAGCCAUGGGUCUCAUAGAGCAGUGAAGUACUCUUUUCAUGGAGCAGGUCUUGUUUGUCCACGUGUGUUGAUGUUUCUUUAGUUCAGUCUUCUAUGAGUAUCAGGAUUUUCAGUUCAGUUUUCCUUCCUAAUCAGUGUGCUUCCCUUCACUUAUGUUUUUUUUUUUUUUUUUCCACUUAUGUGUGUUGUGUUCUGCUACCAUGUCUUUUUACGUAAGCAGAUUGUAUAUAUUAAGAAAAGGAGAAAGCUUAGGACCAAGCUGGUGCUAGGACCUUACAUUAUGAUCUUUCUAACAAAAACACAUAUUCUGCUCCCAUUUUUAGUUUUUGGUCUAGAUACUUGCUUAUGUUCCUUGAUGACCCUGAUGAGGUCCCUGAUGGUCCAUACUUAUGGACAUUUGGUAAGUACUCAAAAGUCGCUUCUGGAUCUUCGGUAGCCCUGUACAGUGUUCUUCUCUCUUGGUGUUCUUGCUGCUUUUCUUCUGCUUCUGUUCUCUUUUUGUGUGGUGACAGUUGUAGUGGAUUAGAUUUGCAAAGUUCAAAGGUUGGUGUCCAGUGUGUGUUCCUCUGCAGCAUGUUUCUUGGCCAUUUUUGUGCUUGCACUGCGAUUUGGAUAUUAUCAGGGCUUCGAGAAAAUGGAGUUUUUGAUCUUGUGUGUUACCUCCAGUGAUUUCCUAGUUGGUAUGGGUUUCACCUGCUUUGUCCACUGAGCUGCAUUCCCUUCUUUUGGUGCUUGCAGCUGUUGGGUCUUACAGAUCUUUUCAUGGAGCGGCGUUGUUUGUCAAUUUGCAUCGAGGUUUCUUUAGUUAACUACUCAAAGUCGAUCCAGGAUCUUUGAUGACGCCAUGAAGUGCUCCUUUACUUUUGGGUUUCUAGCUACUUAUUUUCUCUCUGCUUCCGUUUUCUUUUGAUUAUCACACCAGCCUGAUUUUGUCUGUUGGAUGAAUGCGUAGAUCACACGGUGACAGAUAGAGGAUUGGAUUUGGAAAAUUUGUAUUCGUUCGUGUGCACGUACUUUUCGUGAUUGCACUACAAUCUGGAUAUUGUCGGGCUUCAACAAAAAGGGGGUUUCGAAUCUUGUCUCUGGCAUUUUUCCUAGUGAUUUCUUAGGUGGUAUGGGUUUCAUCAGCUUUGUUGUUCUCUUCUUUCUGUGCUUGCAGCAGCCAUUGGGUCUUGCAGAGCAAUGCAUUAUGCUUUUCAUGUAACGGCCUUGUUUGUCCAUUUGUGUCGAGGUUUCUUUAGUUCAGGCUUUUAUGAAUACAGAAAUUUUCAUUCCUCAACCCAUAUAGUUUCUUUCACUUGUAUUAGUUCUAUUCUGCUGCCGUUUUUAGUUUUUUAGUACAGAUGCUUAUGUUCUUUGACCAUCCAACUGAUGACGCCCUGGUGAUUGAUGGUUAUGGACACUUGAUUAAGCACUUGAAGUCAGCCAUUUUUGUGCUUGCACUACAAUCUGGAUAUUGUCGGGCUUCGACAAAAAGGGGGUUUCGAAUCUUGUGUCUUGCAUUUUUCCUAGCGAUUUCUUAGGUAGUAGGGGUUACAUCAGCCUUUGUACUUAACUGUUCCCUUCUUUAUAUGCUUGCAGCAGCAAUUGGGUCUUACAUAACCAUGAAUGCUUUUCAUGGAACGGCCUUGUUCUCGGUGCUUAUUUUCUCUGCUACUGUAUUCUUCCUUCUGUUUAUCCGGCUAGCUUGAUUUUUUGUUUGUUGGAUGGAUGUGCCGGUAACAGUUGAUUAGAUUUGGAAAUUCAGUAUGCAUUCCUCUACACCCCCAUUUUGGUGCUUGUACUCCAAUCUGGAUAUUGUCAGGCUUCAACAAAAAAGGGGGCUUUCAACCUGGUUCUUGCAUAUGUAGUGAUAUCUGAGGUGGUAUGGGUUUUGUCAGCUUUGCACUUAACUGUUCCUUCUUUCUGUGCUUGCAGCCAUGAGCACUACCUCUUUUCGUGGAGCGAUCAUGUUUGUCUAUUUGAAUUAAGGUUCUGUAGUUCAGUCUUUUAGGAGUAUUGAGAUUUUCAUUCAGUUCUCUUUCCUAAUGGUCCCUGUCCUCUUUGUUGAAAGUUGAAACUGCUGUUGUAUUGAAGUUUCUCAAAGAUAAUACUUUUCACCAGUGUGUUAUAUUCUGCUGCGAUGAUGUUUUAACUCCAGAUGCUUAUGUUCUUCGAUGGUCCAACCGCUGAGGUGUCUCCUAUGGUUAUGGGCAUCCGAUAAGUAUCGUCAAUUUUGGAUCCUUUGAUAGCGCCGUAGUGUCCCUCUACCUUUGGUCUUCUAGCUACUACUUAUUUUCUCUGUAUUCUGUUGGUUAUCACGCCGCUUGUCUGCUCUUUUUUGUUGGAUGGAUGUUUAGAUCAUAUGGUGACAAUAACAGAGGUUAAGAUUUGGAAAUUUCGAAGGUUGGUGUCCAGUAUGCAUUCCUCUGCACCCUCUUGGUCUUUUUGGUGCUUGCACUGCAAUCUGGAUUUGUCCGGGCUUUGACAAAAAGGGGGUUUUUCAAUAUUUUCUGGCAUUUUCUAGUGAUUUCCUGGGUUGUUGUAUGGGCUUCGCCAGCUUUGCACUUAACCGUUCCCUUCUUUCGGUGCUUGCAGUUGGUGGGUUUUAUUAGCAGGGAAUCCUUCUUUUCAUGGAGUAUCCUUGUUUGUCAAUUUUGGUUGAGGUUUCUUUAAUUAAUGCUUUUAAUGAUUAUCUAGAUUUUCAAUUCAGUUUCCUUCCCUAAUAAGAGCGGUUCUCAUCUCUCUCUGUCAACUCCUCAUUUAAAAUUACUUUUUCACUAGCGUGUUGUAUUCUGCUGCCAUCUUUAUUUUUUUAAGUCCAGAUGCUUAUGUUCUAUGGUGAUCCAACUGAUGAGAUCCCUGAUGGCUAGGGACACAUGAUAAGUUCUCUUUAACUCAAGUAAUUUUGGAUCUUUUGAUAGCCCUGUAAAUUGGUGUUCUCGCUUCUUAUCUUCUCUGCUUCCGCUUUCUUUUGUUUAACACACCAUUUGAUUUUGUUCAGUUGGAUAGAUGUUUGUGGACCACAUGGUGAUAGUGAUAGAUGGUUUGAUAUUUCGAAGUAUGUGCAUCAAGGAAAGGGAGUUUCCCAAUUUUGUCUGACUCCUCUAAUGAUCUCUUGUGUGCCAUGAGCAGUGACUUCUUCUUUUCGUGGAGCGAUCAUGUUUGUCUAUUUGAGCUGAGCCAUUGGGUUUUACAGAUGAGUGAAUCACCCUUUUUUGGAGCGGCCUUGUUUGUACAUUAUGUUGAGUGUGUUGUAUUCUGCUUCCAUGAGGUUCUUAGUCCAGGUGGUUAUGCUCUUCGAUGAUCCAACUGAUGAGGUCUCUUAUAGUUAUGGACAGCAGCUGAUAAGCACUCGGUCAUUUUCUGAUAGCACUGUAAAGGCUCCUCCACUUUUGGUCUUCUAGCCUACUUAUCUUCUUUGCUUCCAGUUUCUUUUGGUUAUCACGCGACUUGUUUUAUUUUUGUUGUAUGGAUGUGUAGACCAAUAUGGUGACAGUUACAGAGGUUAUGAUUUGGAAAUUUCAGAGGUUGGUAUCCAGUAUGCUUUCCUCUGCACCUUUUUGGUAUUUUUGGUGCUUGCUCUGCAAUCCGGGUAUUGUUAGGUUUCGACAGAAAGGCGGUUUUUUAAAUCUUGUCUAUGGCAUCUUUAGUGAUUUCUAGGUGGUUUGGGUUUGGUCAGCUUUGCACUUAACUGUUUCCUUCUUUCUGUGCUUGCAGGCAUGGGUCUCAUAGAGCAGUAGAGUACUCUUUCAUGGAGCGGGUCUUGUUUGUCCACGUGUGUUGAUGUUUCUUUAGUUCAGUCUUCUCUUGAGCUGAGGGUCUUUCGGAAAUAGCCUCCCUACCUCCCAAGGUGGGGGUAAGGUCUGCGUACACUUUACCCUCCCCGGACCCCACAUUGGGAUUUCACUGGAUCACACGGUGACAGAUAGAGGAUUGGAUUUGGAAAAUUUGUAUUCGUUCGUGUGCACGUACUUUUCGUGAUUGCACUACAAUCUGGAUAUUGUCGGGCUUCAACAAAAAGGGGGUUUUGAAUCUUGUCUCUGGCAUUUUUCCUAGUGAUUUCUUAGGUGGUAUGGGUUUCAUCAGCUUUGUUGUUCUCUUCUUUCUGUGCUUGCAGCAGCCAUUGGGUCUUGCAGAGCGAUGCAUUAUGCUUUUCAUGUAACGGCCUUGUUUGUCCAUUUGUGUCGAGGUUUCUUUAGUUCAGGCUUUUAUGAAUACAGAAAUUUUCAUUUCUCAACCCAUAUAGUUUCUUUCACUUGUAUUAGUUCUAUUCGGCUGCCGUUUUUAGUUUUUUAGUACAGAUGCUUAUGUUCUUUGACCAUCCAACUGAUGACGCCCUGGUGAUUGAUGGUUAUGGACACCUGAUUAAGCACUUGAAGUCAGUUCUGGAUAUUUCGUUAGCCCCAUAAAGUGCGCCUCUUUUUGGUUUUCUCGCUACUUAUUUUCUCUGCUGCUGUUUCUUCUGCUUAUCACACAAGCUUGAUUUUGUUUGUUGGAUGGAUGUGUGGUAACAGUUCAGAGGAUUAGAUUUGAAAUGGAAAUUUCAAAGGUUGGUGUCCAGUAUGUGUUUGUGUGCAGCCGGUUUCUUGCCAUUUUGGUGCUUGCACUACAAUCUGGAUAUUGUCGGGCUUCGACAAAAAGGGGGUUUCGAAUCAUGUGUCUGGCAUUUUUCCUAGCGAUUUCUUAGGUAGUAGGGGUUACAUCAGCUUUUGUACUUUUUUUUUUGCUUGCAGCAGUAAUUGGGUCUUACAGAACCAUGAAUGCUUUUCAUGGAACGGCCUUGUUUGUCCAUUUGUGUCGAGGUUCCUUCAGCUCAGGCUUUUAUGAGUGCAUAAAUUAUCAUUUCUCAACCAAAAUAGUUUUUUUCACUAGUGUUUGUUUAUUCUGGUGCCAUUUUUAGUUUUUUAGUACAGAUGCUUAUGUUCUUUCACCAUCCAACUCAUGAGGCCCUGGUGGUUGAUGGUUAUGGACACGUGAUUAAGUACUUGAAAUCAGUUCUGGAUAUUUCGAUAGCCCCCGUAAAGUGCUCCUCUCUUUUGGUGUUCUCGCUGCUUAUUUUCUCUGGUGCCGUUUCUUCUGUUUAUCACGCAAGCUUGAUUAUGUUUGUUGGAUGGAUGUGUGGUUACAGUUAAGAAGAUUAGAUUUGGAAAUUUCAAUGGUUGGCGUCCAGUAUGCGUUUGUGUGCACCCUGUUUCUUGCCAUUUUGGUGCUUGCACUACAAUCUGGAUAUUGUCUUUUCUGCGACAAAAAGGGGGUUUCGAAUCUCGUCUCUGGCAUUUUUCCUAGUGAUUUGUUAGGUAGUAUGGGUUACAUCAGCUUUGCACUUAACUCUUCCGUUCUUUCUGUGCUUGCAGCAGCCAUUGGGUCUUACAGAGCCAUGAAUUAUUCUUUUCAUGGAGUGGCCUUGUUUGUCCAUUUGUGUUGAGGUUUCUUUAGUUUAGGCUUUUAUGAGUCCAGAAAUUUGCAUUCUCAACUAAAAUAGUUUUCUCUCUAGUGUUUGUUGUGUUCUGCUGCCAUUUUUAGUGUUUAGUCCAGAUGCUUAUGUUCUUCGACGAUCCAACUGAUGAGGCCUUGGUGGUUGAUUAUGGACCUGUUCUCGCUGCUUAUUUUCUCUGCUGCUGUAUUCUUCUGUUUAUCAGGCUAGCUUGAUUUUGUUUGUUGGAUGGAUGUGCCGGUAACAGUUGAUUAGAUUUGGAAAUUUCAGUAUGCAUUCCUCUACACCCCCAUUUUGGUACUUGUACUCCAAUCUGGAUAUUGUCAGACUUCGACAAAAAAGGGGGUUUUCAACCUUGCUCUUGCAUAUCUAGUGAUAUCUGAGGUGGUAUGGGUUUUGUCAGCUUUGCACUUAACUGUUCCCUUCUUUCUGUGCUUGCAGCCAUGAGCAGUGACUUCUUUUCGUGGAGCGAUCAUGUUUGUCUAUUUGAGCUAAGGUUCUGUAGUUCAGUCUUUUAUGAGUAUCGAGAUUUGCAUUCAGUUCUCUUUCCUAAUGGUCCCUUUUCUCUUUGUUGAAAGUUGGAACUGCUGUUGUAUUGAAGUUUCUCAAAGAUAAUAUUUUUCACCAGUGUGUUAUAAUCUGCUGCGAUGAAGUUUUAGCUCCAGAUGCUUAUGUUCUUCGAUGGUCCAACCGCUGAGGUGUCUCCUAUGGUUAUGGGCCCCCGAUAAGUACUGUCAAUUUUGGAUCCUUUGAUAGCGCCGUAAAGUGUCCCUCUACCUUUGGUCUUCUAGCUACUUAUUUUCUCUGUUUUCUGUUGGUUAUUCACGCCACUUGUCCCUCUGUUUUUUGUUGGAUGGACGUGUAGAUCAUAUGGUGACAGUAACAGAGGUUAAGAUUUGGAAAUUUCCGAAGGCUGGUGUCCAGUAUGCGUUCCUCUGCACCCUCUUGGUCUUUUUGGUGCUUGCACUGCAGUCUGGAUUUGUCCGGGUUUCGACAAAAAGGGGCUUUUUUGAAUCUUUUCUGGCAUUUUCUAGUGAUUUCCUGGGUUGUUGUAUGGGCUUCGCCAGCUUUGCACUUAACUGUUCUCUUCUUUCUGUGCUUGCAGUUGGUGGGUUUUAUUAGCAGGGAAUCCUUCUUUUCAUGGAGUGGCCUUGUUUGCCAAUUUUGGUUGAGGUUUCUUUAAUUAAUGCUUUUAAUGGUUAUCUAGAUUUUCAAUUCAGUUUCCUUCCCUGAUAAGAGUGGUUCUCAUCUCUCCCUUUCAACUCCUCAUUUAAAUUACUUUUUCACUAUCGUGUUGUAUUCUGCUGCCAUCUUUAUUUUUUUUAGUCCAGAUGCUUAUGUUCUAUGGUGAUCCAACUGAUGAGAUCCCUGACGGCUCCGCUUCCGCUUUCUUUUGUUUAACACCAUUUGAUUUUAUUCGGUUGGAUAGAUGUUUGUGGACCACAUGGUGAUAGUGAUAGAUGGUUUGAUAUUUCGAAGUAUGUGCGUCAAGGAAAGGGAGUUUCCCAAUCUUGUCUGGCUCCUCUAAUGAUCUCGUGUGGUAUGGGUUUUCCGAACUUUGCACUUAACUGCUCCCUUAUUUCUGUUCUUGCAGCCAUUGGGGCUUAUGGACCAGUGAAUGCUUCUUUUCAUGGUGCCGACCUUGUUUGUUAAGAUCUGUUUGGAGGUUUCUUUAGUUCAGUUAUGAUUAUUGAGAUAUUCAAUUCAGUUUUCUUCCCUAGUGACUCCCUUUUCUCUUUGUCCCAACUGCUGUGUUAUGGAAGUUUCUUGACAAAGAUAACAUCGUUCACUAGUGUGUGUUGUAUUCUGCUGACAUGAAGUUUUUAGUCCAGAUCCAACUGAUGAGGUCUCUUAUGGUUAUGGACACCUGAUAAGUACUCGCGAUCAUCUUCGGAUAACGCUGUAAAGUGCUCCUCCACUUUAGAUCUUCUAGCUACUUAUCUUCUGAUAGCGCUGUAAAGUGCUCCUCCACUUUAGGUCUUCUAGCUACUUAUCUUCUGAUAGCGCUGUAAAGUGCUCCUCCACUUUAGGUCUUCUAGCUACUUAUCUUCUUUGCUCUUUUUGUUACCACGCCACUCGAUUUUUGUUGUAUGGAUGUGUAGACCACAUGGUGAGAAUAAUAGAGGUUAAGUUUUGGAAAUCUCAAAGGUUGGGAUUGAUUAUGGGUUCUCUGCACCCACUUGGUCUUUUUGGUGCUUGCAGCCUUGCACUGCAAUCUGGAUAUUGUCAGGCUUCAACAAAAGGGGGGUUUUCAUCUUGUCUAUGGCAUCUCUAGGGGGGUUUCCUCUCCUUUGCACUUAGCUGUUCCCUUCUUUCCUUUGCUUGCAGCCAUGAGCAGUGACUUCUUCUUUUCGUGGAGCGAUCAUGUUUGUCUAUUUUAAGCAGAGGUUUCUUUAGUUCAUUCUUUUACGAGUAUCGAGAUUUUCAUUCAGUUCUCUUCCGUAAUGGUCCCUUUUCACUUUGUUGAAACUACUGUUGUAGUGAAGUUACCCAGCUAGGAUAAUAUUCUCGCCAGUGUGUUAUAUUCUGCUGCGAUGAAGUUUUUACUCCAGAUGCUUAUGUUCUUCGAUGAUUCAAUCGGUGACAGUAACAAAGCACUUAACUUGUCCCUUCUUUCCGUGCUUGCAGCCAUUGGGUUUACAGAGCAGUGAAUUACCCUUUUUUGGAGCGGCCUUGUUUGUACAUUAUGUUGAGGUUUCUUUAGUUCAGUCUUUUUUGAGCAUUGAGAUUCUCAAUUCAGUUUUCUUGGCUAAAUGCUCCUUUUUCUCUUUGUCAAAACUACUGUUGUGUGGAGGUUUAACUGAGAUAAUAUUUUUCACCUGUAGUGUUGUAUUCUGCUUCCAUGAGGUUCUUAGUCCAGAUGGUUAUGUUCUUCGAUGAUCCAACUGAUGAGGUCUCUUAUAGUUAUGGACAGCUGAUAAGCACUCGGUCAUUUUCUGAUAGCACUGUAAAGUGCUCCUCCACUUUUGGUCUUCUAGCCCACUUUUCUUCUCUGCUUCCAGUUUCUUUUGGUUAUCACGCGACUUGUUUUAUUUUUGUUGUAUGGAUGUGUAGACCAUAUGGUGACAGUUACAGAGGUUAUGAUUUGGAAAUUUCAGAGGUACCUCCAUUAUGCUUUCCUCUGCACCCUCUUGGUAUUUUUGGUGCUUGCUCUGCAAUCCGGAUAUUGUUAAGUUUCGACAGAAAGGCGGUUAUUCAAUUUUGUCUAUGGCAUCUUUAGUGAUUUCUAGGUGGUUUGGGUUUGGUCAGCUUUGCACUUGACUGUUUCCUUCUUUCUGUGCUUGCAGCCAUGGGUCUCAUAGAGCAGUGAAGUACUCUUUUCAUGGAGCAGGUCUUGUUUGUCCACGUGUGUUGAUGUUUCUUUAGUUCAGUCUUCUAUGAGUAUCAGGAUUUUCAGUUCAGUUUUCCUUCCUAAUCAGUGUGCUUCCCUUCACUUAUGUUUUUUUUUUUUUUUCCACUUAUGUGUGUUGUGUUCUGCUACCAUGUCUUUUUACGUAAGCAGAUUGUAUAUAUGUAGAUUGUAUAUAUUAAGAAAGGGAGAAAGCUUAGGACCAAGCUGGUGCUAAGACCUUACAGAAAUUUGUGAUCUUUCUAACAAAAACACAUAUUCUGCUGCCAUUUUUAGUUUUUGGUCUAGAUACUUGCUUAUGUUCCUUGAUGACCCAGAUGAGGUCCCUGAUGGUCCAUACUUAUGGACAUUUGGUAAGUACGCAAAAGUCACUUCUGGAUCUUUGGUAGCCCUGUACAGUGUUCUUCUCUCUUGGUGUUCUUGCUGCUUUUCUUCUGCUUCUGUUCUCUUUUUGUGUAUCAUGCCAGCUUGAUGUUUUUGGUGGAUGGAUGUGUGGUGACAGUUAUAGUGGAUUAGAUUUGCAAAGUUGAAAGGUUGGCGUCCGUAUGUGUUCCUCUGCAGCAUGUUUCUUGGUCAUUUUUGUGCUUGCACUGCGAUUUGGAUAUUAUCAGGGCUUCGAGAAAAGGGAGUUUUUGAUCUUGUGUGGCACCUCCAGUGAUUUCCUAGUUGGUAUGGGUUUCACCUGCUUUGUCCACUGAACUGCAUUCCCUUCUUUUUGUGCUUGCAGCUGUUGGGUCUUGCAGAUCUUUUCAUGGAGCGGUGUUGUUUAUCAAUUUGCAUCGAGGUUUCUUUAGUUAAUGCUUUUAAUGAGUAUUGAGAUGUUUGAUUCAGAUUUCAUCCCUGAUCACUUGUUACCUUCUCUCUGUCAAAACUGCUGAUAUGUGGAAGUUCUCAACUAUGAUACUAGUGUAUUUUGUAUUCUGCUGGCGUUUUUAGUUUUUAGUCCAGAUGCUUCCUUGAUGAGAUCCCUGGUGGUUAUGGAUGCCUGAUAAAUUUUGGAUCUUUUGAUAGUGGCUAUGAAAACUUUGGAUCUUUUGGUACUUCUGGUGUUCCCCUAUUUUCUUCUCCACUUCCGUUUUCUCGUGUAUCACACCACUUGAUUUUCUUUGGUUGGAUAGAUGUUUGUAGAGCGCGUUACUGUCCAGAUUAUUGAAAUCUGCUGGCUUUUCUUUGGAUGAUGAACUGUCAUAUCACAAUUCGUAUCCGCUAUUGUUGAUUCCUGUCCUGGACGGGCAGGGAUAGUAUAUGCCCUGUUUAGGGAAUUUGAAGUUUGGCUGGGGGUUUGCUCCACCAGUAUUUGGAUGAUUGCUUGGCUCACAUGGCUGUUUGUACAAAAGUCUCUUACUGUGAGGUAAAUGAUGGGAACUUGGAAAGGACAUAAUGCCAUGUGAUCUUUUUAGGAAGUGUAUCCCCUAAGCAUAGGGUUCUGUCAAUUGAUUUUUUUGGUCUGAAGGAGUCCUCCAUAUCAGCUGUUGUGGAAGGAUACCAGCACAAAGGAGAUACCUUAAAGUAGAAGGAAUGAAAGAAAAAGGACGACAAGUUAUGGGUUUUGCUAGUUCGAUAGACAGGGACGUGAAGGAAGGAAUGUGGUUUUAUUGUACUAUCUUUUGAGAACCUUCAUGUGGUAUAUGUGCAACACCCAAGUCUGGUAGAUCAGUUGGCACCCAGGGAAGUUAAUAACUUCAAUUUACUUUUUAUUUCCUGCAUGCGCUAAAGCAAGAUACUGUGGAUUGAUUUUGUUGCCUUAAACAAGAUCCGAUGAUGUUGGAAGUGAUCUUUUUGGCAGAGAGAUUCACUAGUGAGAUUCUGCUUUCUUCUGUUGGUUAUGCGGGAUACUUCUAUGGUGGUCUUCAAUCUUUGUUUUGUAGGUUUGUGGAGAUUUUCCUUUAGGGGUGGUGGAAAGUAGCGUGUGCUGUGCCUUAUUAUUUUUUUUAGCAGAAUUGUUGAGUAUGCUCCCGUCUCCAAUUUAAAUUUUGAGAAUUUUCAGGAUAAUGAAAUGUUUGCACGGUAUUCUAGCACAAUUACUUGUUUUCAUCGAAGAUGGAGUGUUUCCAACAGUAUUGUAGGUGAAAAUGGAACGUUUCCAACAGUAUUGUGACAAUGACCUUGAAUUUCUAUUCAGACUCGUGUAAUUUUGUCCUUCAAUAUUUUCAGUUAUGAAUGUCACUUAGAAGGUCAUUGCAAAGUCUGAAUCUUGUCGGUACAAUUUUUUAUUGAUUCGAGAAUUUAUCCUAGAUUCUCUCCUAGGUUUUCUCACCUUAUAUCCCAAGUACAGUUGACCUACAUCCUCGCUCAACAAUUCGAGAAAAUUUGUCCUUUUAACCCAGUCUGUUCUUCCCAGUCUCUGUUCCUUCUUUUAUAAUCCAUCUUAUUUACAGGUUGUUCCUUGGCUCUGUCUUGAUUGCAUUUGAGUUGAUGCAUGUUUUUGAAGUCUUGUUUUAUUUUUCAACAUGAUCUUGUCUUGUCUUGGCACCAAAAAUGGUUCUCCUUCCUGUUCCUUUUGUGGUUUUGGUCUAAUUGUUGCUACAUUUUUGUUUAGUUGACCCCUGUAACUCCGCCUGUCAAAUCAGCCGGUCCCCAGCCCGGAUUAAGGAGGAGGGAAGGUGUCAAGUGUGCAGUUAGUCUGCCCAUUCACUGUGUCCCCUUAGUGUCUUGAUCAAUUAGGAUGGAACAAGUGCUUCCUAAUUCUGAUAUUUGUAUUUAUUUAUAUAGGUCAUGUCUGUUAAAUAUCGAUUAUCAGGAAUGUUGUGGCUGCUACAUGAAAUGUCUUGAGAUGGUUUUGGGGCUUGUAUUGGAAAGUUGAUAGAGAAGAUUCAGGCAGGUGGUCUUGGUUAUCAUUCAAUUGAUAAUAUAGAAAUUGUGAUCACUUAAUUUCUUACAUCGUCAGUGAGGAAAAUUCAUCAUUUCUUUGAUGAUCUAGGUGAUCACAAUCUCAGUCUUACAUUUGCUGUGAUUUAGUUGAUGAUCCACUUUACACAGGAAAUAUUGUUUUUAUGUAUUUGGCUUCGAGCUCAAUCUCAACUAGAGGUUAGCCCGGCCAUUGUAUAAGUGUGUGUAUUCAAGAAUCAUGUGAUUUUUUUUUCCCUACAUAGUUGAUGAACCGGUACCACAAAAUACAGCUGAUAGUCCUUGUGUGGCGCAGUAUAGUGUACUCUUUAGCUGUUUGCUGUUGCUACUGGGUUUUCAUGGAUGCUGCAAACUACAUCUACAUAUCAGGUUGCAAUGGUAAACUGCUUGGAAUCGUUGGGCAAGUUUCUGAUGACGUGUGAGGUUCCAAAGCGUGUAGACGACGUCCAGUCUGUUCUCUUCCAUGUCUCCAUCUUCACAUGGGAAAAUUGUUAUACUAAUAAUGUCUAUAGAUGAUUUCCUUCUUGCUGAAAUACAAUAGUUUUUAAUAUUUGUGCAUUCAGGGGUGUGACCUAGUGGUAAACAAAGUGGGUUAGAGAAAAAAUGAAGGUUUCAGGUUCAAAUCCUAGCAAAGGCAAAAACAUUAGGUGAUUCUUAUCAUUUGUUCUAACCUUAUUGGACAGAGUUAUUUGGUGCCUGUGUUUGUAGGAGGUAGUGUAUACCUAGGAUUAGUCAAGGUGCGUGCAAAUUGAGCCAGGAUCAUCAUGAAAUAACAGAAACUUUCCCUAUAGUAUUUGCUAUUUGCUUGUGAGGUUUUGUAGAUGCUGCAAACUUUACCUGAAAAUAUCAAUUUGCAGCGGUAUCAUCGGCAAGAUUGUAGUAUUUUUUUUCUUUCAUGUCACUCCUACAUCCACCUUUGUGUCGGGAAAUCAUUUCGUUAAUGAUGUCUCUAGAUGACUUCCAACUUAAUAUUCAACUAAAUAAGAGGUUCGUGUUUAGCUAGGUUGCAAAUUGGUGUCUAUUCAAGGAUCUUGUGAAUUUCUUAUCUGGAUAGUUAGUGACCCUUAUAUAUCCUCAUUUUCUUUAGAAGUUUCUUGCCUGCUUGCAACAUAAUUAUCUACUAUUGCUUGUGUGUAUUUUCAUGAAUGCUGCAGAGUGCACUCACUGCACACCCAAAUAUCAGUUUGCGAUGGUAAUAACUGUGUGGUAACCUCCUGGAAAUGAGGUGUGUAUGAUGUUUGUGUUGUUUUCAUUGAUGUUGCAGAUAAUGUUCAAUUUCAGUGUGCAAUGAUGUAUUCAAAAUUGGUAUACAAUGCUGUUGCAAAUGGUUCCUCAGGAAGGUCAACACAGUUAAAGAAACUUAAAUAAGUGGGUUUAAAUUUCGAAUAUGAUUUUGUGAGAAAUUUAGAGUGGGUGUUGUUUAGACUUGUUAGAAAUAUUUAAGGAGGUUGUUUGCAAAAUUUUGAGCUGAUUGCUUUCCAACGGCAUAAACAUCAAAGGAUGAGGUAAUCGACAAUGGAGAUAGUACCUGUAGAAGUUGAAAUCGGGGAGAAGUUAAAACAAUAGAAAAAAUAAAGGAGUUGGACGAUGAAGAGCAAAGAUAUAUUUUUAGGUCAUUCCGGGAAAGAACCUCAAAUAUGUGCUCAAUAGACUCAAUUAAUAUACAGUGUAAUUAUGUUUUAAUAAGUCACCUUUUUUUCAGUUUCCGUCUUUAUGAACGAACAAUACUAUGCAAUUACAAUUAUAAGCAUAAAUAAUUUAGCUCAAAGGAAAUAAAAGUGAUAUUUUAUGAAUUUUAUUCUUUCUGUCAUGACAUGAAUCACAAUAUCUUCAGCAAGCUCAAAAAUGUUGUUAAGUGUACAUAAUAAUUUCCUGUAAUCUUCGUUUACUUUUAAUUAUUUUCC